AUUGAACGCUGGCGGCAUGCCUUACACAUGCAAGUCGAACGGUAACAGGUCUUCGGAUGCUGACGAGUGGCGAACGGGUGAGUAAUACAUCGGAACGUGCCUAGUAGUGGGGGAUAACUACUCGAAAGAGUGGCUAAUACCGCAUGAGAUCUACGGAUGAAAGCAGGGGAUCGCAAGACCUUGUGCUAUUAGAGCGGCCGAUGGCAGAUUAGGUAGUUGGUGGGAUAAAAGCUUACCAAGCCGACGAUCUGUAGCUGGUCUGAGAGGACGAUCAGCCACACUGGGACUGAGACACGGCCCAGACUCCUACGGGAGGCAGCAGUGGGGAAUUUUGGACAAUGGGCGCAAGCCUGAUCCAGCAAUGCCGCGUGCAGGAUGAAGGCCUUCGGGUUGUAAACUGCUUUUGUACGGAACGAAAAGCCCUGGGUUAAUACCCUGGGGUCAUGACGGUACCGUAAGAAUAAGCACCGGCUAACUACGUGCCAGCCGCCGCUGUAA
rnacentral:rRNA from 1 species